ensembl:lncRNA
CCUGAUGACGCCACAAAGGUUAAAUUAUUGUUGACUUUCGAUGAUUAAUGAUAAAAUAAAAAAACAUGCAACUAUGAGACUGAACGCAAAUGAGAUAAUUGAAUGUACUUUAGGGAUAUUUAUUGAUCACUGUAUUGGCAGUAUUUCUGUUUCAGCUGCAUCAUAUGAUUUUCUCUUUCAAACAAAGUGAAUCUUGUUCAGCUGCUCACAGGCGACCUCCUGCAGGGCCACGGCCCUCAGGUUAGGAACCCCUGGUUUCAUCAAGAAGCUCAAUGUUCAAAAGUUUUUAAAGUACCCUUUUAAAUACGAGGACAAAACAAGCAGAGAUACAAAGUACAACUCACAAAAUAAAAGUCCGGUUUAUUGUCAAACAACAAACUUUGCACAUACAUCAAAACAGGCCGUCAUAAAACAAAAGGAAAAGCAGGAAAAAGAAAAGAGGCUCUUCUCUUUGGCCUUCAGCCUCCCAUACAAACAACUAGUUAUGGUACAGCUAAAGUACAUACAUUAAAUUUACUGGAAUGCUCUGAGUUCAACGGCUUUAAGAGGUUUGUUUUCUUUUGAGAUAUCGUAACGUGGUCAACCAAGUUAAAUCUUUCCUUAAAGAAGCACCGAUUUGGUCUGACGAGAUCGCUGCCGAGGGGGAAAUCGACCCCCCCUAACAAUAUGUACAAAAAUAUAAAAUGUAAAUAAAAAUACAAACAAAUUCUCCUUUUCGUGUUGUUGUUGUUGAAGAAAAGCCGGAUUUCUGCGUCGAUGCGUUGGCGGGUUCUUCUAGAAAAAUGAGUUGAGCGUUUCGAUGUUGAACUCUACUUUCUAAUGACCAUGUGGGGGUUUUAUUUCAUUUUUUAUUAUUAUUUUCUCCUUUUAAAUCAGUCCUCCGGGCCCUCCACCCGUGGCACAUAAAAACCGUCACAGGUGGAGAACCAGGAAGUGGUUCAGCAGGACGGGGGGGCGGGGGCACAUCAAUCAUCGUCGUCGGUUUUCUGCUUCUUGGUUUCAACGUCGUCCUGAAAGAAGCAGAAGAAGAAAAUUAGUGAGGUCAGAGGCGAGGUCGUGACCUUAUUGGUUGGGGGGCGGCGCCUAACCUCGUCCUCGUCGUCAUCGUCAUCGGCUGCCCGCUUUGUGCCGCCCUCGAUCUCGUCGUCGUCGUCGUCUUCGUCCUCUUCGCCUCUACCUUCUCCAUCAUCUUCCUCGUCCUCCUCGUCCACCUCCUCGUCCUCGUCCUCGUCGUCUACCUCGGGCUCGCCAUUCUCGUUCUCCUGGAGACAACAUUGACAGAGAUGGAACCGGUGAGAAGCUGCGUGGAGCUCAGCGUCCUGCAGAAGACCACAGAAGAAGAAGAGGCUACCUUCCCGUUGGUGGCAGCAUCUUUGCCGUUCUCCUUCUCCUCCACCAGCUUCUUCUCUUUCAGCUCCACAUAGACAUUC